GAUGAACGCUGGCGGCGUGCCUAAUACAUGCAAGUCGAGCGAACGGACGAGAAGCUUGCUUCUCUGAUGUUAGCGGCGGACGGGUGAGUAACACGUGGAUAACCUACCUAUAAGACUGGGAUAACUUCGGGAAACCGUAGCUAAUACCGCAUCAUAUUUUGAACCGCAUGGUUCAAAAGUGAAAGACGGUCUUGCUGUCACUUAUAGAUGGAUCCGCGCUGCAUUAGCUAGUUGGUAAGGUAACGGCUUACCAAGGCAACGAUGCAUAGCCGACCUGAGAGGAUGAUCGGCCACACUGGAACUGAGACACGGUCCAGACUCCUACGGGAGGCAGCAGUAGGGAAUCUUCCGCAAUGGGCGAAAGCCUGACGGAGCAACGCCGCGUGAGUGAUGAAGGUCUUCGGAUCGUAAAACUCUGUUAUUAGGGAAGAACAUAUGUGUAAGUAACUGUGCACAUCUUGACGGUACCUAAUCAGAAAGCCACGGCUAACUACGUG
rnacentral:rRNA from 1 species